rnacentral:rRNA from 1 species
UGGGGAAUAUUGCACAAUGGGCGCAAGCCUGAUGCAGCCAUGCCGCGUGUAUGAAGAAGGCCUUCGGGUUGUAAAGUACUUUCAGUCGGGAGGAAGGUGGUAAGGUUAAUAACCUUAUCAAUUGACGUUACCGACAGAAGAAGCACCGGCUAACUCCGUGCCAGCAGCCGCGGUAAUACGGAGGGUGCAAGCGUUAAUCGGAAUUACUGGGCGUAAAGCGCACGCAGGCGGUUGAUUGGGUCAGAUGUGAAAUCCCCGGGCUUAACCCGGGAAUUGCAUCUGAUAAUGGUCAGCUAGAGUCUUGUAGAGGGGGGUAGAAUUCCAUGUGUAGCGGUGAAAUGCGUAGAGAUGUGGAGGAAUACCGGUGGCGAAGGCGGCCCCCUGGACAAAGACUGACGCUCAGGUGCGAAAGCGUGGGGAGCAAACAGG